rnacentral:tRNA from 1 species
UGCCCAAUAGUAUAAUGGUAGUACAACUGAUUUUGGUUCAGUUAGUCUAGGUUCGAACCCUGGUUGGGCAA